UACAGAGGGUGCAAGCGUUGUUCGGAAUUAUUGGGCGUAAAGGGCGCGUAGGCGGUGCUGUAAGUCUGUAGUGAAAUCUCUGGGCUCAACUCAGAGUCUGCUAUAGAAACUGCAGUGCUGGAGUGUGGGAGAGGUGAGUGGAAUUCCCGGUGUAGCGGUGAAAUGCGUAGAUAUCUGCAGGAACACCCGUGGCGAAAGCGGCGCGCUGGACCACUACUGACGCUGAGGAACGAAAGCUAGGGGAGCAAACAGG
rnacentral:rRNA from 1 species